CAGUCGCCGCGGGAAUACAGAGGGUGCAAGCGUUAAUCGGAAUUACUGGGCGUAAAGCGCGCGUAGGUGGUUCGCCAAGUUGGAUGUGAAAUCCCCGGGCUCAACCUGGGAACUGCAUCCAAAACUGGCGAGCUAGAGUAUGGUAGAGGGUGGUGGAAUUUCCUGUGUAGCGGUGAAAUGCGUAGAUAUAGGAAGGAACAUCAGUGGCGAAGGCGACCACCUGGACUGAUACUGACACUGAGGUGCGAAAGCGUGGGGAGCAAACAGGAUUAGAUACCCCGUAGUCCCUGUCUCUUAUACC
rnacentral:rRNA from 1 species